rnacentral:lncRNA from 1 species
GUUCAUCUACAAGACUAGUUAAUAGAGGGGAGUAAAAGGCAGUUUUAGUGAGGAGGCAUACCUGGUGAGGACUGAAGGGGGGAAUAACCCAUCUCACCCUCCUUCUACUUUCUGGGGCAUAUAACAUCAACUCCUUAUAUCCCUUGUCCUAAACUUGAGUUGGGGGGAAGACUCUAUUCUUUCUCCCUUCCUCCAUUACACCCAAACCAACCCUCUGACACAAGUGGCACCCCAGAGGAAAAUCCACCAUUACCAACUAUCACAAACUGACAGUUGGAACUCUUAGGGCAAGAUAGCCAUCUUGAAUGACACUGCCUAAGAGUUAAUACACAGGAUCAAGAACAAACAUCAUUCAAGUUCUUGGAUUAGACCUCUAUCACACAAGAGAAUAUAUGACUGGAAAAGGAAGAUGUUGGGCUGCAUUGGCUUCUCCCACAAAUGGCUAUUUCAAUAAUCCAGUGUGUGCCAAGUGUAAAACACUCCAGAGAAGGAAGAAUCUACAAGCGAUUGUGCUGGCGAGGAGGACAAGGGGAGGAGAACUUUCCUGCUAGGGAGCCUUAAAUGGAAUUUGGUCUAUACAGCCUUCCAUCAAAUUGCAGGUUAAAUAUGUUCAAGUUUCUUUAACCUUCAGGAGAUCUGUCUUACAGAGCUGGCUUGCAGUUUCCAAUAGGUCAAAGCUUUAAGAAUUUAAGGACUGGAAACUAUGCUGAAAGAAUCAGUACUGAAGCCCCCAUCUAUCUAGGUGCUGUGGUGGAAUAUUUAGCAAUAGUCACCGAAGC